GUCGAUGCGUUUCCAUUUGAGUAUCCUGAAAACGGGCUUUUCAGCAUGGUUCGCAUUUAUUUAAUUAUAGGAGUGCAUAGUGGCCCGUAUAGCAGGCAUUAACAUUCCUGAU
rfam:Pantoea sp. PSNIH1, complete genome.